GCCAUGGGGGUGGAGAGAUGCUAUGUAGUUAAACCCAAGGAAGCUUGUGGAUACAACACUUCCAGCGUGACACUCGUAGAGAACGGCAAAAGCUCAGCCUCACACACACACACACACACACACACACUCACACACAUAUAACAGCAGAUCUCAACAGGAUACUGCAGUCAGUCACAGGCACAUGAACACGGGAGGAAAUGGAGUGACAAGAGAAAGGAAGACACAAAUCACACUGUGCCAUGUGUGCAGAGAAACAGAUUGUCCGCUAUCAGCGGUGAUGGUGCGCGGAGGAAAAACGCGAGCAUGCAGCGAAGUCAAACAAAAGGGCCUCAGAUGAAUAUUCCUGAAACAGAACAGGAUGGACUUGCUAAAACCAAAUCACGCACUCAUCCUGCACCGGUAGGUUCAACGUUUUCUCUUUAGUGUCUUUCUUAAUGGUGAGUGAGCUGCAGUGGGCAUUUUUUGAAAUCGACAGACUCUGAUGGUGUGCUUUAGAAAGUUUAGGUGAUGAUUGGCAGGUGCCAGACUUGAUCCUGGGUCUGUGAGAAG